AUUGAACGCUGGCGGCAUGCCUUACACAUGCAAGUCGAACGGCAGCGGACCUUCGGGUGCCGGCGAGUGGCGAACGGGUGAGUAAUGUAUCGGAACGUACCUUUCAGUGGGGGAUAACGUAGCGAAAGUUACGCUAAUACCGCAUAUUCUGUGAGCAGGAAAGCAGGGGAUCGCAAGACCUUGCGCUGAUUGAGCGGCCGAUAUCAGAUUAGCUAGUUGGUGAGGUAAAGGCUCACCAAGGGGACGAUCUGUAGCGGGUCUGAGAGGAUGAUCCGCCACGCUGGAACUGAGACACGGUCCAGACUCCUACGGGAGGCAGCAGUGGGGAAUUUUGGACGAUGGGGGCAACCCUGAUCCAGCCAUGCCGCGUGAGUGAAGAAGGCCUUCGGGUUGUAAAGCUCUUUCGUCCGGGAAGAAAUCGCAUCAGCUAAUACCUGGUGUGGAUGACGGUACCGGAAUAAGAAGCACCGGCUAACUACGUGCCAGCAGCCGCCGUAAAAC
rnacentral:rRNA from 1 species